rnacentral:lncRNA from 1 species
UCCGUGCUGGACCAGAAGGUGUGGUUCCGCCCGCUCGAGGACGUCGAGAAGCCCCCCGUCGCCUGAUCGCCGGCGACCACCAAGACGACGAUAGCCCAGCUCGACAUCUCUAUCACUCCGCUUAGCUGGGCUCGACCACCCACCUAAUUAUAAUCUACAGUAGUGUGCUUGUGCUAUAGUACAGACAUGGCAGGCACCAGAACCAGUAGUAGUAUUGCGGUGUUGCUGCCUGGAAUAAGAGCGAGCAGAAGAUGUGUGAUGAUGAUGAUGACACUGAUGUUGGUGGCUGUGAUGUACUCCCGUCUUAAACCGGUACUAUUGCAAGUGUUUGGUAACCGCUGCGUCUCUUGAUUGUGCAAAUUUUGCUCUUUUGGGGACGUUCUCUGUCAGGCAUUCAGUAUAGACAGGGACUUGAACACAUCGUGACUGAGCUGCAUUUGGCUGGGGUUUGAUCAACGUGUAUCACGCUGUGAAUUUGCUGUGUGGUCCAGACCCAUAUUUUUUGAAACUCGGCAAAAGAUUUGCCAUUUUCAUUGAAUAAAAAUAAGGAAGAAGGUUUAGAGUUUGUGGCCAACGGCCGAAUUACAAAA